rnacentral:rRNA from 1 species
AUUGAACGCUGGCGGCAUGCCUUACACAUGCAAGUCGAACGGUAACAGGUCUUCGGAUGCUGACGAGUGGCGAACGGGUGAGUAAUACAUCGGAACGUGCCUAGUAGUGGGGGAUAACUACUCGAAAGAGUGGCUAAUACCGCAUGAGAUCUACGGAUGAAAGCAGGGAAUCGCAAGACCUUGUGCUACUAGAGCGGCCGAUGGCAGAUUAGGUAGUUGGUGGGAUAAAAGCUUACCAAGCCGACGAGCUGUAGCUGGUCUGAGAGGACGAUCAGCCACACUGGGACAGGGACACGGCCCAGACUGCUAGGGGAGGCAGCAGUGGGGAAUUUUGGAGAAUGGGCGAAAGCCUGAUCCAGCAAUGCCGCGUGCAGGAUGAAGGCCUUCGGGUUGUAAACUGCUUUUGUACGGAACGAAAAGCCCCGGGUUAAUACCCUGGGGUCAUGACGGUACCGUAAGAAUAAGCACCGGCUAACUACGUGCCAGCAGCCGCCGUAA